GCAGAACUGUGGUUGACGAAUGUUUUAUUUCUGCCACUUCUUUAUCUGCUUGCCUUGUAAAUGUAUUUCAUGCAUUUACUAUAGCUUUAAGAGUAUCAGCAUCACGUGUGGCAGAUGUGUGGAGAGAAACUGUGCAGACCAGUGUCACUGUGUGUAUAAAGGGUUAAGAUCCCCUAGAUCUUGCCCGGAAUGUAUACAUCACCUUAACAGACAUCUGAAGAAAUAUAUACCAUAUGAACUGAUAGAUGAAGUGUUGUUAUACUUGUAUACUUUGUGAGUGUUUGAUAAUGACAAAGGGACAGAAGUACAAC